CACAAAACACCACAGGCAAAUGUCCCUGCUGCUGCUUGGAGCAGGUAGGAUUUACCCCAGCUUCACAGAAUCAUAGAAUAUCCUGAGCUGGAACUUGGCACCUCCAUGGCAACACCAACCACCCUAGAGUUAUGGAAUCAUGGAAUCAUGGAAUCCUUAAGGUUGGAGAAGAUCUCUAAGAUCAACGAGUCCAACCAUUAACCCAGCAAGGUCAGGUCCACCUCUAAACCAUGUCCUGAAAUGCUGUCUCCCUCUCAUCUUUUUGCUGGCUGUUUUAGUCUCUGAAAUAUGCAAAGAAAUGUGCUCCUGCCUUCAGACUGAGGAAGAUUUUUAGGCUUUUGACCUGAAGGAAGGAUGGAUUUUUGUGCGUCACGUCCUGAGAAGUUUUUAGCCCUGGGUCCCUCUUGUUGGCCUCAUGUCAAGAAGGAGGAGCCAUGAGCUCAAGGAAUUUGAAGGAAAGCAGAAGGCACCAUGCCAGAGGUGGGAUCUGGGGCAUUUUUACUCGCUUUUGGGUUCUUUGCCUAAUUAAUGAAAUCUCACAAGGCCAAAGUGCCAGGAUCAAAACCCCCUUCUUGUCAGAGCAGGUUUCAUGACUCAUGACAGUAAAAGAGAAAGGACAUUUUUAUUAUCUGGCAUUUUUAGGCAUGCAAAGUUUGGGGUUUUCCUAGCUGUCAAAGAAGGAAGCACAUCAUUUAGGACUGAGCCAGUUCAUUUCUGAAGCAUCACCACAGUCCAAACUCUGUUUUGAGCCUUCAACAUUUUCCCCUCCAGAUCUAACUGUGCCUAAAAUCACAGAUUUCUUUUGGAUUAAAUCAAUCCAAAAGAUGCACUACAGCUUGCCAUGGGUCUGUUUUCUAUGGGACCAGAGUAAAUCCCUUCUGAACCAUUUGCAGUGAGGACAUCACAUGCUCAAGCGUUUGCCACCCUUCCCCAACCACGUUUUAAGGGACAGAAAAAAUCCCCAAAACAUGUUUUUUGGGGACAACGUCUGAAACACAACCGGGCACUGCGUUUGCUCCCUGGACUCUGUCGGAUCCAGCCCCGGGCAGCCUCUGCCUCCCCUCCACGGGGGAGUCCUGUCCCUGCCAGCUCAGGACGUCACAUCUCCAGCGGGUUCUUCCACCUUGGGCGUCCUGCUGAAGAUGGAACAAAGAAGUUUUGCAAAGGGGGGAAAUAUCUUUAUCUCUGCCUGGUUGCCUCUGCUCUGCCUGCACCGUCAUGUUGUGAAAGCCUGCAAGAAUCCGUGCGCUGCUCAGCCCCAUUUCACAAAGAAAAGAGACAAAAAGUGGCCACAUGGAUGAUUUGGGGUCCUAGAGGAGCUCAUGGACUUGAACCAGGGCUUCUCCAGGUCUACAUUAACCCCUGCAUUCACUCUUUUGCCCUUUCCUGCCUUAAUUAAUCCAUUAGUAGCAAGGGCUCACCAUAAUUAAAGAGCUGGAUUCAUUAA